rnacentral:sRNA from 2 species
CGACUAAGGUUCGAUUCGAGCGCAGCGAGAACGCGUUGCCGCAGGCAACGACCCGAAGGGCGAAGCGCGCAGCGCUGAGUCAUCCUUCCCCCACCACCA